AGCAACGCUGGCGGCAGGCUUAACACAUGCAAGUCGAGCGGGCGUAGCAAUACGUCAGCGGCAGACGGGUGAGUAACGCGUGGGAACGUACCUUUUGGUUCGGAACAACACAGGGAAACUUGUGCUAAUACCGGAUAAGCCCUUACGGGGAAAGAUUUCUCGCCGAAAGAUCGGCCCGCGUCUGACUAGCUAGUUGGUAGGGUAAUGGCCUACCAAGGCGACGAUCAGUAGCUGGUCUGAGAGGAUGAUCAGCCACAUUGGGACUGAGACACGGCCCAAACUCCUACGGGAGGCAGCAGUGGGGAAUAUUGGACAAUGGGGGCAACCCUGAUCCAGCCAUGCCGCGUGAGUGAUGAAGGCCCUAGGGUUGUAAAGCUCUUUUGUGCGGGAAGAUAAUGACGGUACCGCAAGAAUAAGCCCCGGCUAACUUCGUGCCAGCCGCCGCCGUAA
rnacentral:rRNA from 1 species